AGAAUCAAGAAGUUGUUAACUCAAUCCUACAUGCUAAUUUGGGCCCUACAGGGUCAAGUGGGCAAACGGAAAAGGAGCUUGCAAACUAGAAACACUCCAGGGAAAAGAGGUUCCGAGGACGUGGAACCUGAUGCAACUUAGAAAGUACUAUGUAUGAAAGGCCACCCCAAGGAGCGGGGAUGAGAGAACAAGAAAUGGGGUCUAAGUGCCCAUUUUGUGAAGCUAACAACAAGGAAAUGAGUUCUCUCUUUUUGUUAUGUAUGUUAAACAAAGAACACGAACUGGAGUGUCACUCCAACUUAUGGUAAUGAAUUGUUGUUUUAUAA